rnacentral:rRNA from 1 species
GACGAACGCUGGCGGCGUGCGUAACACAUGCAAGUCGAACGAGAGAGUGAGAGAAGCUUGCUUUUCUUACGAUCGAGUGGCAAACGGGUGAGUAACGCGUAAACAACCUGCCCCGCAGAUGGGGACAACAGCUGGAAACGGCUGCUAAUACCGAAUACGCUCCUCUUAGCGCAUGGUAAGAGGAAGAAAGGGUGGCCUCUGGAACAAGCUACCGCUGUGGGAGGGGUUUGCGUCUGAUUAGCUAGUUGGAGGGGUAACGGCCCACCAAGGCGACGAUCAGUAGCCGGUCUGAGAGGAUGAACGGCCACAUUGGAACUGAGACACGGUCCAGACUCCUACGGGAGGCAGCAGUGGGGAAUCUUCCGCAAUGGGCGAAAGCCUGACGGAGCAACGCCGCGUGAGUGAAGACGGCCUUCGGGUUGUAAAGCUCUGUUAUAGGGGACGAACGGCCGGGUAGCGAAUAGGUACCCGGCAUGACGGUACCGUAAGAGAAAGCCACGGCUAA